GGCUACGUAGCUCAGUUGGUUAGAGCACAUCACUCAUAAUGAUGGGGUCACAGGUUCGAAUCCCUCGUAGCCACCA
rnacentral:tRNA from 1 species